UGCAUGUCUCAGUAUAAGUCUUUACACGACGAAACUGCGAAUGGCUCAUUAAAACAGUUAUAGUUUAUUUGAUGGUCACUCGUUAUUUGGAUAACUGUGGUAAUUCUAGAGCUAAUACAUGCAUAAAGCCCCGACUUUGGGAAGGGGUGUAUUUAUUAGAUACAGAACCAAUCCGCUUGCGGUUUUUGGAUGAUUCAUAAUAAAUGAACGGAGCGCAUGGCUUGUGCCGGCGCUGUUUCAUUCAAGUUUCUGACCUAUCAGCUUCCGACGGUAGGGUAUUGGCCUACCGUGGCAUUGACGGGUAACGGAGAAUUAGGGUUCGAUUCCGGAGAGGGAGCCCGAGAAACGGCUACCACAUCUAAGGAAGGCAGCAGGCGCGCAAAUUACCCAAUCCUGAUACAGGGAGGUAGUGACAAGAAAUAACAAUGAAAGCGGCAUACGCCGUUUUUCUAUUGGAAUGAGUAGAAUUUAGAUCUCUCUUCGACUAACAAUUGGAGGGCAAGUCUGGUGCCAGCAGCCGCGGUAAUUCCAGCUCCAAUAGCGUAUAUUAAAGUUGUUGCGGUUAAAAAGCUCGUAGUUGGAUUUCUGUUGAGGAAGUCCGGUCCGCACUUUGUGCGUGAUCUGGUUCUGCCUCGGCAUCCUCGCGGGGAACGCGCUGCGCUUGAUUGCGUGGUGCGGUAUUCGCGACUUUUACUUUGAGGAAAUUAGAGUGUUCACGGCAGGCUAUCGCCUUGAAUACGUUAGCAUGGAAUAAUAAUAUAGGACCUUGGUUCUAUUUUGUUGGUUUCUAGAACUAAGGUAAUGAUUAAUAGGGAUAAUUGGGGGCAUUUGUAUUAACACGUCAGAGGUGAAAUUCUUGGAUUGUGUUACGACAAACUACUGCGAAAGCAUUUGCCAAGGAUGUUUUCAUUGAUCAAGAACGAAAGU
rnacentral:rRNA from 1 species